GCUUUCGUGGUAUAACGGUCAGCACGCUCGACACGUAACCCGAGAGGUCCGUGGUUCGAAUCCCGGCUAAGGCG
rnacentral:tRNA from 1 species